GACGAACGCUGGCGGCGUGCCUAAUACAUGCAAGUAGGACGCAGUUGCGAACGGGUGAGUAACGCGUAUGUAACUACCUAUUCCAGGGGGAUAACUACUGUAAAUGAUAGCUAAUACCGCAUCCUAGUAGAAUUACCUGCUUUGUAUUAUCUAGUAUGUAGGGUAAUGGCCUCCCUAUGCAACGAUACAUAGCCGGGCUGGGGAGGUGAUCGGCCAAACGGGGAGUGAGAAACGGCCCAGACUCCUACGGGAGGCAGACGUAGGGAAUCUUCGGAAAUGGGGGGAAGCCUUACCAAGGAAAGCCGGGGGAGUGAAGAAGGUUUUCGGAUCGUAAAGCUCUGUUGUUAAGGAAGCGGUACUUGAACAGAAAGGGACGGCUAACUACGUGCCAGCAGCCGCGGUAAUUC
rnacentral:rRNA from 1 species